rnacentral:rRNA from 1 species
UACGUAGGCAGCAAGCGUUGUUCGGAGUUACUGGGCGUAAAGAGUGCGUAGGCGGUGUCGAAAGUUUGGCGUGAAAUCUCCCGGCUUAACUGGGAGGGUGCGCCGAAAACUGCGAUGCUGGAGUGUGGGAAAGGCAAGCGGAAUUCCUGGUGUAGCGGUGAAAUGCGUAGAAUAUCGAGGAGGAACACCGGCGGUGAGUGAGACCGGCUUGGCUGGGC